rnacentral:rRNA from 1 species
GACGAACGCUGGCGGCGUGCCUAAUACAUGCAAGUAGAACGCUGAAGGAGGAGCUUGCUCUUCUGGAUGAGUUGCGAACGGGUGAGUAACGCGUAGGUAACCUGCCUGGUAGCGGGGGAUAACUAUUGGAAACGAUAGCUAAUACCGCAUAACAGUAGAUGUUGCAUGACAUUUACUUAAAAGGUGCAAUUGCACCACUACCAGAUGGACCUGCGUUGUAUUAGCUAGUUGGUGGGGUAACGGCUCACCAAGGCGACGAUACAUAGCCGACCUGAGAGGGUGAUCGGCCACACUGGGACUGAGACACGGCCCAGACUCCUACGGGAGGCAGCAGUAGGGAAUCUUCGGCAAUGGACGGAAGUCUGACCGAGCAACGCCGCGUGAGUGAAGAAGGUUUUCGGAUCGUAAAGCUCUGUUGUAAGAGAAGAACGAGUGUGAGAGUGGAAAGUUCACACUGUGACGGUAUCUUACCAGAAAGGGACGGCUAACUACGUG